rnacentral:lncRNA from 1 species
AAAAAGAUCAGACUAUCAGGAAGACCCUAGAUAAAUAACAAGUACUGAUAUCUAAAAAGGUUUUCGUCCCGCUUUAUAAUAAAGCAACCACCACAACCACAAGGUACAACGAGAGUCGCACGUGUACACAAGGUAGCACAACAUAGAGUAUAAUAAGGUUCUGCUAAGGCACAACUCAACAAGCCCUGGACACAAGAAAACGACAGGCGGGAGUCCCGCACGCGCGCGAAACGAAGCUUCUAGUCCGGCUCCGAAGGUGCUGCAGGAAGCGGCGGUGCCAAGCGAAGAGCCAUCGUCCUGAGGUCAGCAGUAAGAGUGUUGAUGGCCUCCUAGACGUGGUGACAGCUAAGCGACCGCCAGAACUGCAAAACCCCACACAUUUUGAACACCGCGUCAGUCGCAUGGUGGAGAGGCACAUGUUGAAUCACAAGCUUAUUACGGACCGUCCAAAGCGUCCAGGCCAGAACCCCAAUGGCAAGCCACCUAACGUGGCGGCCCAUGACCUCCCGGAGGCAGCUUGAGAGAAACUGGACGGACACGCACGACUACUAGAUAAAUAGAAUAAAGCAAGUACUCAUCCCAUGAAAAUAGAGACAUGAAGCCAAUCAAUUGAAACUACUUCGAAAGCAGAGCAAAAUGGUAUGAAAACUAGCAUACAUUUUCACACAACCAGAAAAGCAGAGUAAAAUACUCCGAAAAUACGUCAAAAGCGAGCUUAUUUUAGCAUCAAACGAAGCAGUUAGUCACUUCAGCCCGAAAGGGUAAUGAAAUAAACAUAUAUUUGAUGCAGCCACAUAACAGUCACUUUUGAUCAUAACUUUUUAUACAUCAACACAAAAAGAAGAAGUCAGCAUGUUCAUACUCGAUCCAACUCAUACACUGCAGUUCAUGAGGAUAUGAAAAGUUGAAAACUAUGACUGAAAUAAUGAUCGCCAGGAUUGAUACUACUAAGACAGUAAGUAUGCUUUUCACUAGUGUUUACAUAGUAGCAAGGGGAACUCCCAAGGCGCAAUAUCUUCACACAACUGCGUAUUUCAGCGAAUACUUAGUGUAGAAAUUAUUGUCAAGUGUGUCGUUUCUUGGGGUUGAUAUGUCCCGCAGCUCCACAGGCUAUCAGAAAGGAGGCGGCGUACCGCCAGGGCCCGGGUGUCCGAACAGAGGGCCGCAGCAAUCUUGGAGCAGGCAGCAGCAGCACAGGAGAUAGAUGCUACAGAAGAAGCGUUCGCCCAGAGUUUCAGAUGUAUACGUGUACAACAAAAGAGAUUCAGAGUUACAAAAUUUAACUCCUUGUACAUGCUUUAUCCCUUAGGAAUUGUGGUUUUAGUUAGUGCUGAAAAUAUUACACUUCAUCCCUGAACUACUAAUCAUCUACCGAGUGAAUAGACUGAUUUUGUAGAAGAAAAGACAAUUCACAUGCUGACUGAAUGAAUGAUCACUUCCAUCAGUUAGCUGAGAACUCAACUUACCAGGAUCCGAAGAACCCACCAAACCCAGGCCCCCAGGAACCAGGGCCAGGGUCACCAGGAAACCCAGGCCCGCCAGGUGGAACCAGACUCCACCCUCCUGGGCCCCAUCCUACAUGGCCUCCUGAACCCGGUCCUCCUCCAGGCCCAUGCGGGUCCAUCUCGCCAAGAUAAACUGCUGCACCAAUAAGAUAAAAAGAAGCUAAACUGCUGCUGAAUGGUAAACUACAGCUUCCCAACUCGAUCAGAAGGAACCCAGAAUUGAUGCUGCAGUUGGAGGUGAAGAAGUAUUUGUAGAGGUAGGGUGAGAAGUAGUGGUUGUGCAUGUACCUGCUGUUCAAUAGCUCACCCGCAGGUCGUCUGGGUUAGUUUCAACUACUGUUCUCUGCAUGCUUACUGUUGCAGCACCAGAAGGAAGUUUUGUGCUCUCAAGAUUGAGUUUAGUUCUAAACCAAAAUAGGAGAGAUCCUGCAGACGUCGGUAAAAAAAACAGGAUGUAGUAAAUGUAAAGUACAAG